rnacentral:misc_RNA from 1 species
CCAAUAGCGUAUAUUAAAGUUGUUGCAGUUAAAAAGCUCGUAGUUGAAUUUCGGGACCAAUCUGCCGGUCGUGCCUCCGGUACGCACUGGUUUUAUUGGUUUCUCCCUUCUGACGAACCAUGAUGUCAUUAAUUUGGUGUCAUGGGGAAUCAGGACUGUUACUUUGAAAAAAUUAGAGUGUUUAUAGCAGGCUCACGCUUGAAUACAUUAGCAUGGAAUAAUGAAAUAGGACGUUUGACCCUAUUUUGUUGGUUUCUAGGAUCGACGUAAUGAUUAAUAGGGAUAGUUGAGGGCAUUAGUAUUCAAUUGUCAGAGGUGAAAUUCUUGGAUUUAUUGAAGACUAACUACUGCGAAAGCAUUUGCCAAGGAUGUUUUCAUUAAUCAAGAACGAAAGUUAGGGGAUCGAAGACGAUCAGAUACCGUCGUAGUCUUAACCAUAACUAUGCCGACUAGGGAUCGGAUGAUGUUAAUUUUUUAAUGACUCAUUCGGCGCCUUACG